AUGUCCACAUGGGGCUUGAUUUUUGUGUCGUUGCUGAAGAUUUGAGAACCCCCAGUGUAAGUACGAGCCCGCUGCCAAUGACCUACAGAUGAAAAGCACUCACACCUCAGAUAACCUGUCCUGCCUGCAAACAAGACACAGCAGCAGAUACCUACGACAAGUUCGUCUCCUCUUCCACAUCCCAUCAGCACUUGUGCAAAGAAACUGGAGAAGCCCCUCAAUGUUGCAUUGCCAGGAAGAGGCCCAGGACCUCAGCUCCUGGCAGGCAGAAGCUGUGAGGUCUUUUAACUGCAGGCACAGCAAACAGGUUGAGAUGGGAGCUAGGAUAAGUCUUAAGAAAGAACCAGGAAGGGAAAGACUCCCGCUCAGCACUGCGUUCUCCUCCCACACCUUUCCCCUGAAUUUGCAGGGACAGACACCAGAUGGCGAUGGCCACUCUGCUUUCUUUGCAACCUGGAAACAAACUAAAAAUGCAAAGUUUUUGUGUCGUCUUAUUCAGGAGUAUGUCUUCACUCCUUCUGUCUGACAGAGACAGCAUGCAAAGCACUGCCAUCUUUAUGUGCUUAUUUUCCUUGAACACAUAUUCUGAUCAUACUGUUAUAUUUAGGGAGAUUUUCUAUGCAGGCUUCCUCUAAAGAACCCUAGUGCACCCCAGCUGCUGGGUGCUGUGGGUGAUUAUCCCUUUUCCUCCCCUUCUGCCUCCCUGAGAGGAAGGGAAGUGAUGGGCACAAGGUGGCUCAGUGGGAUGUGGCUGUAUGUGGAGGUGCAGUGCAGAGUGCAGCUCUUCUGGCUUUGUGACAGGGUGCUGUCUCAGUCGUUCACAUGUGGACAGACUUGGUGCAACAUACUGUGCUGCUGUCUAUGUGCGGUACCCGAUUCUUCUUAGCAAAAUUCAGCGAUUCACUGAGGGAUUGGGACUCUCUUGUGAUUUUUUUUUUUCUCCUGCCUGUUCCAAUGCUAUUUUUAAAGGAGCUGUAGCUACGUAAAAGCCUCACUUAAACCACUGGCAUUCCUCUAUGUUAUAAAGUGAGAUAAUUCCUUCCAAACCAAACCCUGGCAUCAAAGGAUCAGAAGUGAAAAGUGUUACAUGAUACAUGUGCAUGUGUGCUGUGUCAGUGUAAGCAUCUACAAAGGGCUCCUUCAUCUUUUCUCCUGUUCAGCAACCCCGUUGGGCUGCAGAAUAGCAGCAAUCAAGCUGUCUGAGUGGGGCAGAUGCCCUAUUUGUUGGCUUGCUUGCUUCUGAAAUUCUUUUCGUGUAUGAAAACCUCUGUGG